rnacentral:siRNA from 1 species
GGACAACUAUGCCUCAGAUGAAGU